GACGAACGCUGGCGGCGUGCUUAACACAUGCAAGUCGAACGGUGAUGGGUGCUUGCACCUUGAUCAGUGGCGAACGGGUGAGUAACACGUGAGCAACCUGCCCCCGACUCUGGGAUAACCCCGGGAAACCGGAGCUAAUACCGGAUAUGAGGCGCCUGGGCAUCCGGGUGUCUGGAAAGAAUUUCGGUCGGGGAUGGGCUCGCGGCCUAUCAGCUUGUUGGUGGGGUAAUGGCCUACCAAGGCGACGACGGGUAGCCGGCCUGAGAGGGCGACCGGCCACACUGGGACUGAGACACGGCCCAGACUCCUACGGGAGGUAGCAGUGGGGAAUAUUGCACAAUGGGCGCAAGCCUGAUGCAGCGACGCCGCGUGAGGGAUGAAGGCCUUCGGGUUGUAAACCUGUUUCAGCAGGGAAGAAGCGCAAGUGACGGUACCUGCAGAAGAAGCGCCGGCUAACUACGUGCCAGCCGCCGCCGUAACAC
rnacentral:rRNA from 1 species